UGGGGAAUCUUGGACAAUGGGGGCAACCCUGAUCCAGCGAUGCCGCGUGUGUGAAGAAGGCCUUAGGGUUGUAAAGCACUUUAGUUGGGGAAGAGGAGUUUUGGUUAAAUAGGCCAAGACGAGGACAUUACCCAAAGAAUAAGCACCGGCUAACUCUGUGCCAGCAGCCGCGGUAAUACAGAGGGUGCAAGCGUUAAUCGGAAUAAUUGGGCGUAAAGAGUGCGUAGGUGGUUUGUUAAGUGGUAUGUGAAAGACCGGGGCUUAACCUUGGGGUGUCAUAUCAGACUGGCAAGCUAGAGGACAGUAGAGGAAGGUGGAAUUUCCGGUGUAGCGGUGAAAUGCGUAGAUAUCGGGAGGAACAUCAGUGGCGAAGGCGACCUUCUGGGCUGUACCUGACACU
rnacentral:rRNA from 1 species